AUAAUGAAACACCGGCUCCCGUACGACCACGGAAGGUAAGCAACAUCGAAACUGGUCAAUGCCUAGAUGGGUGACCGCUUGGGAAUACCAGGUGCUGUAAU